GGGUUGUGAGGUUAAGCGACUAAGCGUACACGGUGGAUGCCCUGGCAGUCAGAGGCGAUGAAGGACGUGCUAAUCUGCGAUAAGCGUCGGUAAGGUGAUAUGAACCGUUAUAACCGGCGAUUUCCGAAUGGGGAAACCCAGUGUGUUUCGACACACUAUCAUUAACUGAAUCCAUAGGUUAAUGAGGCGAACCGGGGGAACUGAAACAUCUAAGUACCCCGAGGAAAAGAAAUCAACCGAGAUUCCCCCAGUAGCGGCGAGCGAACGGGGAGGAGCCCAGAGCCUGAAUCAGUGUGUGUGUUAGUGGAAGCGUCUGGAAAGGCGCGCGAUACAGGGUGACAGCCCCGUACACAAAAAUGCACAUGCUGUGAGCUCGAUGAGUAGGGCGGGACACGUGGUAUCCUGUCUGAAUAUGGGGGGACCAUCCUCCAAGGCUAAAUACUCCUGACUGACCGAUAGUGAACCAGUACCGUGAGGGAAAGGCGAAAAGAACCCCGGCGAGGGGAGUGAAAAAGAACCUGAAACCGUGUACGUACAAGCAGUGGGAGCCUCUUUUAUGGGGUGACUGCGUACCUUUUGUAUAAUGGGUCAGCGACUUAUAUUCUGUAGCAAGGUUAACCGAAUAGGGGAGCCGAAGGGAAACCGAGUCUUAACUGGGCGUUAAGUUGCAGGGUAUAGACCCGAAACCCGGUGAUCUAGCCAUGGGCAGGUUGAAGGUUGGGUAACACUAACUGGAGGACCGAACCGACUAAUGUUGAAAAAUUAGCGGAUGACUUGUGGCUGGGGGUGAAAGGCCAAUCAAACCGGGAGAUAGCUGGUUCUCCCCGAAAGCUAUUUAGGUAGCGCCUCGUGAAUUCAUCUCCGGGGGUAGAGCACUGUUUCGGCAAGGGGGUCAUCCCGACUUACCAACCCGAUGCAAACUGCGAAUACCGGAGAAUGUUAUCACGGGAGACACACGGCGGGUGCUAACGUCCGUCGUGAAGAGGGAAACAACCCAGACCGCCAGCUAAGGUCCCAAAGUCAUGGUUAAGUGGGAAACGAUGUGGGAAGGCCCAGACAGCCAGGAUGUUGGCUUAGAAGCAGCCAUCAUUUAAAGAAAGCGUAAUAGCUCACUGGUCGAGUCGGCCUGCGCGGAAGAUGUAACGGGGCUAAACCAUGCACCGAAGCUGCGGCAGCGACACUAUGUGUUGUUGGGUAGGGGAGCGUUCUGUAAGCCUGUGAAGGUGUGCUGUGAGGCAUGCUGGAGGUAUCAGAAGUGCGAAUGCUGACAUAAGUAACGAUAAAGCGGGUGAAAAGCCCGCUCGCCGGAAGACCAAGGGUUCCUGUCCAACGUUAAUCGGGGCAGGGUGAGUCGACCCCUAAGGCGAGGCCGAAAGGCGUAGUCGAUGGGAAACAGGUUAAUAUUCCUGUACUUGGUGUUACUGCGAAGGGGGGACGGAGAAGGCUAUGUUGGCCGGGCGACGGUUGUCCCGGUUUAAGCGUGUAGGCUGGUUUUCCAGGCAAAUCCGGAAAAUCAAGGCUGAGGCGUGAUGACGAGGCACUACGGUGCUGAAGCAACAAAUGCCCUGCUUCCAGGAAAAGCCUCUAAGCAUCAGGUAACAUCAAAUCGUACCCCAAACCGACACAGGUGGUCAGGUAGAGAAUACCAAGGCGCUUGAGAGAACUCGGGUGAAGGAACUAGGCAAAAUGGUGCCGUAACUUCGGGAGAAGGCACGCUGAUAUGUAGGUGAAGUCCCUCGCGGAUGGAGCUGAAAUCAGUCGAAGAUACCAGCUGGCUGCAACUGUUUAUUAAAAACACAGCACUGUGCAAACACGAAAGUGGACGUAUACGGUGUGACGCCUGCCCGGUGCCGGAAGGUUAAUUGAUGGGGUCAGCGCAAGCGAAGCUCUUGAUCGAAGCCCCGGUAAACGGCGGCCGUAACUAUAACGGUCCUAAGGUAGCGAAAUUCCUUGUCGGGUAAGUUCCGACCUGCACGAAUGGCGUAAUGAUGGCCAGGCUGUCUCCACCCGAGACUCAGUGAAAUUGAACUCGCUGUGAAGAUGCAGUGUACCCGCGGCAAGACGGAAAGACCCCGUGAACCUUUACUAUAGCUUGACACUGAACAUUGAGCCUUGAUGUGUAGGAUAGGUGGGAGGCUUAGAAGUGUGGACGCCAGUCUGCAUGGAGCCGACCUUGAAAUACCACCCUUUAAUGUUUGAUGUUCUAACGUGGACCCGUGAUCCGGGUUGCGGACAGUGUCUGGUGGGUAGUUUGACUGGGGCGGUCUCCUCCUAAAGAGUAACGGAGGAGCACGAAGGUUGGCUAAUCCUGGUCGGACAUCAGGAGGUUAGUGCAAUGGCAUAAGCCAGCUUGACUGCGAGCGUGACGGCGCGAGCAGGUGCGAAAGCAGGUCAUAGUGAUCCGGUGGUUCUGAAUGGAAGGGCCAUCGCUCAACGGAUAAAAGGUACUCCGGGGAUAACAGGCUGAUACCGCCCAAGAGUUCAUAUCGACGGCGGUGUUUGGCACCUCGAUGUCGGCUCAUCACAUCCUGGGGCUGAAGUAGGUCCCAAGGGUAUGGCUGUUCGCCAUUUAAAGUGGUACGCGAGCUGGGUUUAGAACGUCGUGAGACAGUUCGGUCCCUAUCUGCCGUGGGCGCUGGAGAACUGAGGGGGGCUGCUCCUAGUACGAGAGGACCGGAGUGGACGCAUCACUGGUGUUCGGGUUGUCAUGCCAAUGGCACUGCCCGGUAGCUAAAUGCGGAAGAGAUAAGUGCUGAAAGCAUCUAAGCACGAAACUUGCCCCGAGAUGAGUUCUCCCUGACUCCUUGAGAGUCCUGAAGGAACGUUGAAGACGACGACGUUGAUAGGCCGGGUGUGUAAGCGCAGCGAUGCGUUGAGCUAACCGGUACUAAUGAACCGUGAGGCUUAACCUUACAACGCCGAAGCUGUU
rnacentral:rRNA from 1 species